rnacentral:lncRNA from 1 species
GUGGGAUUGAAUUUCGUCUUGAAUUAGUAAUUAUUUCUCAAGCAACAAACACCACAGACAUGUCUGUACAUCUUCUUAUGUUUUCCUAACUCUAAAGCCAUUAAGGUAUCUGGUUUGGCUUAUAUUCGCCACAAUUGUGCUGGAGUUUAAUGACUAAAUUUCUUACAAAAUGUUAGUCCAUCAUGCAUUCUGUCAUACAGCAUGUA